UACGUAGGGUCCAAGCGUUGUUCGGAAUCACUGGGCGUAAAGGGAGCGUAGGCGGGAUCGUAAGUUAAGAGUAUAAUACACCGGCUUAACCGGUGGCCUGCUUUUAAUACUGCGAUUCUUGAGUUUGGAAGAGGGAGAUGGAAUUCCAGGUGUAGCGGUGGAAUGCGUAGAUAUCUGGAAGAACACCAGCAGCGAAGGCGGUCUCCUGGUCCUAUACUGACGCUGAGGCUCGAAAGCUAGGGGAG
rnacentral:rRNA from 1 species